rnacentral:ncRNA from 2 species
CUGUCCGAGGGGCGCUGCAGCAGGUUUACCCUGUCAGGCUCGGAUGGGGCGUUGUUUGUCAGGUUGAUCACAA